CCUACGGGUGGCAGCAGUGGGGGAUAUUGCACAAUGGGGGGGACCCUGAUGCAGCGACGCCGCGUGGGUGAAGAAGCGCCUCGGCGCGUAAAGCCCUGUCAGCAGGGAAGAAAAUGACGGUACCUGAAGAAGAAGCCCCGGCUAACUACGUGCCAGCAGCCGCGGUAAUACGUAGGGGGCAAGCGUUGUCCGGAUGUACUGGGUGUAAAGGGCGUGCAGCCGGGAAGACAAGUUAGAUGUGAAAUACCGCGGCUCAACCGCGGAACUGCAUUUGAAACUGUUUUUGUUGAGUACCGGAGAGGUAAUCGGAAUUCCUUGUGUAGCGGUGAAAUGCGUAGAUAUAAGGAAGAACACCAGUGGCGAAGGCGGAUGACUGGACGGCAACUGACGGUGAGGCGCGAAAGCGUGGGGAGCAAACAGGAUUAGAUACCCGAGUAGUC
rnacentral:rRNA from 1 species